AGAGUUUGAUCCUGGCUCAGAACGAACGCUGGCGGCGUGCCUAACACAUGCAAGUCGAGCGAGAAAGUCCCCGCAAGGGGAUGAGUACAGCGGCGAACGGGUGAGUAACACGUGGGCAACCUGCCCUUCAGUCAGGAAUAACCCCGCGAAAGCGGGGCUAAUACCAGAUCACGUCCCCUGGGGGCAUCCUCGGGGGACCAAAGGGGGCGAGCGCAAGCAGCUCCCGCUGAUGGAUGGGCCUGCGGCUGAUUAGCUAGUUGGUAGGGUAACGGCCUACCAAGGCGACGAUCAGUAGCCGACCUGAGAGGGUGACCGGUCACACUGGGACUGAGACACGGCCCAGACUCCUACGGGAGGCAGCAGUGGGGAAUAUUGCGCAAUGGGCGAAAGCCUGACGCAGCGACGCCGCGUGGGUGAUGAAGGCUUUCGGGUCGUAAAGCUCUGCCAAUGGGAAAGAAGUGUAUUUUGGCUAAUAUCCUUAAUACUUGACGGUACCCAUAAAGGAAGCACCGGCUAACUCCGUGCCAGCAGCCGCGGUAAUAC
rnacentral:rRNA from 2 species